AUAGUUGUUGCGAUGCAAGUCAUCGCAGUAAUGCAGCUAACGCAUUAAGUGUACCGCCUGGGGAGUACGGUCGCAAGAUUAAAACUCAAAGGAAUAGACGGGGACCCGCACAAGCGGUGGAGCAUGUGGUUUAAUUCGAAGAUACGCGAAGAACCUUACCUGGACUUGACAUCCUAUAAAGGAUUUAGAGAUAGAUUUGUGCUAGUUUACUAGAAUAUAGUGACAGGUGCUGCACGGCUGUCGUCAGCUCGUGUCGUGAGAUGUUGGGUUAAGUCCCGCAACGAGCGCAACCCUCGUCGUUAGUUGCUAACAGUUCGGCUGAGCACUCUAACGAGACUGCCUGGGUAACCAGGAGGAAGGUGAGGACGACGUCAAGUCAUCAUGGCCCUUAUGUCCAGGGCUACACACGUGCUACAAUGGUUGGGACAAUGAGACGCAAUACCGCGAGGUGGAGCAAAUCUAUAAACCCAAUCUCAGUUCGGAUAGCACUCUGCAACUCGAGUGCUUGAAGCUGGAAUCGCUAGUAAUCGUAGAUCAGCAACGCUACGGUGAAUACGUUCCCGGGUCUUGUACUCACCGCCCGUCACACCAUGGGAAUUUAGUUCACCCGAAGCCGGAAUGCCAAAUUGGCUACCGUCCACGGUGGGCUCAGUAACUAGGGUGAAGUCGUAACAAGGUA
rnacentral:rRNA from 1 species